AAGUAUUGCAGCUCUUUUAGAAUUUGUCUAGCAGGUUUUCUGGCUAUUGCCGGAAGGCCCCC
ensembl:snRNA U7 U7 small nuclear RNA